UCUUCUUCUCUCGUUCUCUGCUCCUCUCUCGUUCUCUCCUCUACCAAAAAAGAAAGUUCUCUCAUAUUCCGCUAAAUGAUCAUUGAAGCCUAAAAUCUAUACCUUUGUUUGAUUUCUGAGAAAAAAACUUUUUAGGGUUUUAGAUUAUUAGGGCUCAGACACCAAAUUCUUCUUUCUAUUUCAAUUUCAGACUCCAAAUCUCAUCUAAGGCUUCGGUUAAACUGAUUCAGAUCGAGUGUUCAUAUCAUUCUGGGUUACUAAGGGAUCUAACGGGUUCAGAUCUUAUGUGUAAAGUUAUACUAGAGGGAGGGAGAAAGGAAUUACAGAGUAAUCAUGGAUGCUGAUUUAGAGCCAUCGAUGGACGAAACCAUUUUGGUUGGUGAUGAUUUAAUGACACGACCAUCAUCACCUAUCAUACCUCCAGAAAUUGCAUCCCAUGUUCUUGAAGGUGUUGAGACUUGUGAUGGGAUUCUUAGGAAUUUCUUCUUAUGUUAUUGAUGUGAUGAUCUGUAUUCAGAGUUAUGGAGAGCUUGUGCUGGUCAUAUUGUUGCUCUCCUUGUGUUCAUUCUGUCUUUCGAUAACAUAUUUUUUCUCUCUUUUUAACAACAGAAGUUUAAGGUUUACAGGUGAACAUGGAUUUCGACUCUAUAUCUUAAGUUUUUCCUGUCAUGCUGGAAACUCCUAAUAGUCAUAUAGAUAUUUUUGAGACUAGACUAAAUGUUAUGUUGUUGAGAGGAAAACUAAGGUUCCCUAUAAUAAAAGAGUGGAGAUGUGGAUGGUAAAUCUUCAUUUAUCUCUUUAUUGGUAUUUGCAAAAAAUUAAUAGCUUAGUAGAUACAUCAUACAUGUGUGGUUGCCCUAGCUGGUGAACUACAAUAAUUUAUUAGGUUGAUUUGAUGUCAAAUAUUUCGGAUAUUUCAGUAAUCUUUCUGUGCAGUCUUUGUUCAUGUGAUAUUAGUAGACACGUGUGGUUACACUAGCUGGUGAACUACAAUCGUGUACCUUUCGGUAAUCUUUCUGUGCAGUCUUCGUUCAUGUGAUAUUAGUAGAUACAUGUAUCAGCCUUUACACUGAAAUUGUUGUUACUGUUCUUGUAUUUAUGCAAUUUAGGAGAUUUUUCAAGAUUGGGAUUGAUUGUCAUCUUUUUUCAGUACGAGUCCUGUAUAGCAAUCCCAACGUCACUUCCAACAUCUUGACAUGUAACUCGAGAUUGGAGUUGUCGUAUUUCCUCCUUUUGUGAUAUAAUGUGAUAUGCUCCCCUAUAGAGAUGCAGAUAAAAUGCAGCUAAUUGUAUGAAGCCAAGCCUUAUUUUUUUGACAUCAACAUAGUUGUGUUUCUCAAUAUGCAUACACCUUUAUUGUUCAAUUUGGACAGAUAUCAUCCAAAGAAAAUAAGCACAAGAAGGAAGUUAUGUUACUUGAUGUCAAUCGUAAACAUUCUGAUUACACCUCCUUUAAACCAGAGAAGCUGCAACCUCAGAUGGCUGCUGAUAACAGUGUUUCUGUAGCUUCUGAAGGCCAGCCACAGAGACCAACUCUUGAGGUGGUGGAGAUCUACAAAUCAUCCGUUUCUGUGAAUCCUAUCUUAGGUGCUUUGGGAGUUGAUACAUGAAGAUAUUUUAGUGCAUCUGAGGUAACUGGUAUUGUUUCUAGUUAUGUUGAAUAUUCAGAAUUUGGUAAAAACAAAGCCAUUGUGGUUUUGGAUGCAACUCUAUGUGAUGCUCUCUUCAAGGGAACAAUAAAGAAGGGCUCAACAUAUCCAACUGAGAUUCAUAAAAAGGAUUUAGGAGCUGAUUUUCUGAGUCGAAUGCAGCCUCACCACAGAGUAACGAGAGGAGGCGAGUCUGCUGUGCGAAAAGGUUCUCUUAAAACAGUUCAGAUAGUAACUGAACGUAGCAAGGAAACAAAAAAUUAACAAGAGUGUUUGGAUUGGAUUCGUUCUUGCUAGAUGCCGAAGUAUUGGCUUCUGAGCUACAGAAGAAGUUUGCAUGCAGUACAACAGUGGCAUAGCUUCCAGGUAAGACAGUUUAGUUAUAACUUAUUUUUAAUUUUUAAUAUGUAAUUGUGCAUCUUCGUUAUCAACACGUCACAGUUGGUAUUAUCUCUUUACCUGCACCAAUCAACAAGUUGAGUUAGCUUUUGCUGGAGCCAUUAGAGAUUGGUGGUUACUGUUUCUACAUCCUCGUAACCGAGUAAGGAAAAUUAGAAGAUUAUACAAAAGAUCAGUUAGCAGAACUUACUAUAUACCCUGUUGAGGACCUAUUUUAGGACACAUUGAUCGAUUGAUGACAUGAAAGAAUGAAACUAACACUGACUAAUCUGAUAUUUUGAGGAGUUCAUCCAUAUUGGAUUAGUAUGACAUUGACACGAGAUAGUCUUAGGAUCCUGGUCAAGGAGAGUAUGUUUGCUUACAACAAAGCACUUACUUAAACUUAUCUUGUUUUUCUUGUCUUCAUUAACAAAGUUAAUUAAGAUCAAUUACUAAUGUAUUGCUUUUCUUGUGUUUACAUGGAAGUAUACUCGACAAAUAGCUGGCCAUCUCUCAUGGUCAAUACUUCUACAAGUCCUUCCAGUCCAGGUUCACCAAUGAUUCCAUGUUUUAUUUUGAUUUAAACUGAAUUGUUUAAUUUUUGGUUGUUAUUUUUGGUAGUUUCUGUAUCAGAAUGUAUACUUUUCAGAUUUCUAUAAUAUUAUGUAAUUGUUUUCA